rnacentral:rRNA from 1 species
GCCAGCAGCCAUACAAUAUCACCCUGCAACUCCCAACUGGUAACCCACUGAAGCUAAGCAGGUGUGAGCCUAGCCAGUACUUGGAUGGGAGACCUCCUAGGAAAAAACUAAGGUUGCUGCUGGAA